UACGAAGGGGGCUAGCGUUGUUCGGAAUCACUGGGCGUAAAGCGCACGUAGGCGGCUUGUUUAGUCAGAGGUGAAAGCCUGGAGCUCAACUCCAGAACUGCCUUUGAUACUGGCAAGCUCGAGUAUGGCAGAGGUUGGUGGAACUCCGAGUGUAGAGGUGAAAUUCGUAGAUAUUCGGAAGAACACCAGUGGCGAAGGCGGCCAACUGGGCCAUUACUGACGCUGAGGUGCGAAAGCGUGGGGAGCAAACAGG
rnacentral:rRNA from 1 species